GUAGGUGGCAAGCGUUGUCCGGAAUUAUUGGGCGUAAAGCGCGCGCAGGCGGUUCUUUAAGUCUGAUGUGAAAGCCCACGGCUCAACCGUGGAGGGUCAUUGGAAACUGGAGAACUUGAGUACAGAAGAGGAAAGCGGAAUUCCGCGUGUAGCGGUGAAAUGCGUAGAGAUGUGGAGGAACACCAGUGGCGAAGGCGGCUUUCUGGUCUGUAACUGACGCUGAGGCGCGAAAGCGUGGGGAGCAAACAGGAUUAGAUACCCUGGUAGUCCACGCCGUAAACGAUGAGUGCUAAGUGUUAGGGGGUUCCCGCCCCCCUUAGUGCUGCAGCUAACGCAUUAAGCACUCCGCCCUGGGAUACGGCCGCAAGGCUG
rnacentral:rRNA from 1 species